rnacentral:lncRNA from 1 species
GGGCCCAAUAGAACCCGAAACAGCCCAAAUUAACAAAAAAUAAUCAGUCCAGUUACAUUAAACACAACAAACCUAAACCCUAGCCCAGGAAAUUAAAAAAUUUCAGCAACAGAGAACCCUAGCUGCUGCUUGCCCCCAAGCCUCCAAGCGCCGCAUGCUGCCAGGCUCACUCAUGCACGCUUCUGACCACAGCCGUCGGCCUCAUCUGACACCUGCAGAGAAGAAUGAAUGCAAGCAACAGAAGAAUACAAAGAAAUAAAGAGCAAAAAACAAAAAAUGAGAAUGAACAGUUGUAAUAGGGCUAUAAAAGCCAAGAUCUAAUCGUUGUAUUUUUUUUUACGAAGGCACAUCAAGAAAUCAAAAUAGAACAGAGUUUUCAAAGGUUGAAUCCUUGCAAUUUCCUCUUUGUUUUCUCUUACUUAUUUGUUUUAUCUUAUUUUAUUUUAUAUUUUUUUUUCUUUUGCAAAUCUAUUUCAAAUAACUAAAAAGCAAAAAGCAAAAAUAAAGGGGAGGGGAACUCACCGGGUGGCCGUGGUUGCGCCGUCGGAGGAUCUCUCCUCCGUCGCCCGAAUCGGGUCCAAGCGGUCGUGAACCUCCUUUGUUUUCGACUCCCGUGGGUUGAGAGAGCUUUGGCUUUCAAGGAUACCGUGAAACAGGGGCUAACGGGACCACUUUCCGGCACCGGUCGCCGACCACGUUGGUGGCGCGACAGAGGUCUUGGGAGGCCGUCGGCCUAGCAGAGAAAGGGAGUCUCCCUUUUGUUUUAUUUUUAUUUUUAUUUUGUUUUUUG